rnacentral:rRNA from 1 species
GACGCUGCGGCAUGCCUAAUACAUGCAAGUCGAACGAGACCUUCGGGUCUAGUGGCGCACGGGUGCGUAACGCGUGGGAAUCUGCCCUUGGGUUCGGAAUAACAUCGGGAAACUGAUGCUAAUACCGGAUGAUGACGUAAGUCCAAAGAUUUAUCGCCCAGGGAUGAGCCCGCGUAGGAUUAGCUAGUUGGUGAGGUAAAGGCUCACCAAGGCGACGAUCCUUAGCUGGUCUGAGAGGAUGAUCAGCCACACUGGGACUGAGACACGGCCCAGACUCCUACGGGAGGCAGCAGUAGGGAAUAUUGGACAAUGGGGGCAACCCUGAUCCAGCAAUGCCGCGUGAGUGAUGAAGGCCUUAGGGUUGUAAAGCUCUUUUACCCGGGAUGAUAAUGACAGUACCGGGAGAAUAAGCCCCGGCUAACUCCGUGCCAGCAGCCGCGGUAAUACGGAGGGGGCUAGCGUUGUUCGGAAUUCUGGCGUAAGCCACGUAGCGGCNAUUAAGUNNAGGUGAAAGNCCGGGGCUNACCCGAACUGCUUUGGACUGAUUGUUGACAUCGANAGNGAGUGAAUCCAGUGUAAGGNG